GCCUCCGUAGCUCAACGGACAAGAGCGCCGAGUUUCUACCUCGAGGGUUGCGGGUUCGAAUCCUGCCGGAGGCU
rnacentral:tRNA from 1 species